GUGAGGGGGCUCCUGAGACAGCCUCCGAGGGGGGUCCAGCAGUGAGGGCCGGGAGGAAGGCAGACAGCAGAGGCAACAGGGGACAUAGCAAAGGAAAGACACAAGCAGAAAGAACCAGAAGGACCCAAAAAGGGGCAAGUACGCAACACUCUCCACAGAGCCACAGAGGCAGCUGGAGCCAGCCCUGGGAGAAGCUCUGCUGCCUGUCUGUCCCCAUGGGCCACCGGGGGCCAUGGCUACACACUUCUCUCCUCUGGGUGGCCGUGGCCAGUCUGCUCCUCCCCCCUGCCAUGACCCAGCAGCUGAGAGGGGCUGGGCUGGGCCCCAGCAACUGGAACAACAAUGCGGGAGUCGUGGGGCCCUCAGAGGACGUGUCUGGUGACUUUGGCCACCCCAUGCACAGCCACAGAGGCCACAGAGAUGAGAACGAGGAUGUCUCCAGGGAGUACAGUCACGGAGACCACAGGUACCAAGUCCACAAGGUCAGAGAAGAGAAUAUCCCGGAUGAGGAGGUCUUCACCGAACAUGCUCGGCAGGCUCACGGGCACAGAGGCCAUGGGAACGAAGAUGUGGAUGAUUCAGACGAGCCCGGACCCCACCUCCCCAGCCACAGAAGCCAGGGCCACCAAGACGAGGAUGAGGAAGGAUCCAGCAAGGAUCACCAUCAUACCAUCAGGCACAUCCAUGGAGGCCACGGAGAAGAGGACAAUGAAGAUGAGGAGGAAGGGGUGGUCUCCACUGAGUAUGGACACCAGGCCCACAGGCACCAAGGCCACGAGAGGGAAGAGGAUGAAGACCUCUCAGAUGAACAUCCCCAUCAUGUCCCCAGCCACGGGCACGGAGGCCUUGGAGAAGAAGGUGGUGAUGAUGAUGAUGAUGUCAUCUCCACUGAAUACGGACACCAGGCCCACAGGCACCGAGGCCACAGGAAGGAAGAGGAUGAAGACCUCUCAGAUGAACACCACGAUCAUAGCCCCAGUCACGAACACCGAAGCCACAGAGAAGAUGAGGAAGAGGACACAUCCACUGAGGAUGGAUACCAGGCCCACUGGCACCGAGGCCAUGGGAGGGAAGAGGAUGAAGACAUCUCAGAUGAACACCAUCACCAUAUCCCCAGCCAUGGACACCGAGGCCAUGGAGAUGAAGAUGGGGAUGAGGAUGAGUCUACCGAACACUGGCACCAGAUUCCCAGACAUACUCACCUUGGAGAUGAGGAGGAAGAGGAAGAGGAGGUCACAGUCACGUUCAGCCACCACGUUGCAAGCUCCCAACACCCGGGCCCCGAGAGCACGGAGGAGGACGACUUUCCAGAUGAAUAUAAGUCAGUAGCCCCUGCCCAUGGAGUCCCCAAGGACGAAGACGAGGACAUCUCUGACAAGCUUGGUCACCAGGCUCCCAGCCACAGGCAACAAGGCCACCAAGAGGAAGGGCCUGGCCACAGAGGGUCUGCGGAAGAUGAGAGUAGCCACCAGCCCCUGGAACACACAGGGGUCAAGGAUAGAAGCCAUUUGAGGGAGAGAGAUUCUGAGGAGGGAGAGAAGGAGGAAGACCGGAGCUCCCACGAGGAAGACGAUGAAAGCUCAGAACAGGGAGAAGGCGGCACCCGCCAUGGCAGCCUAGAUGAGCAGGAUGAAGAAGAUGAGGAGGAAGGUCAUGGCCUGAGCCUGAGCCAGGAGGAGGAGGAGGAAGAGGAGGAGGAAGAGAAGAGGGAGGGGAGGGCUGAGGUUCAGACCCCACUGAGCCAAGACCACCGAGAGGGGGAAGAGGAGGAGGACGGGCUGGAGGAAGAGGAGCUCCCCUUCACCAUCAUCCCUAACCCGAUGGCCAGGAGGGAGGUGGCCGAGGGUGGCUCCAGUGAGGAGCAGAGUGGCGAGGACACGGAUCUGCAGGGGGCCCAGGAGUACAGCAACUACCAGCCUGGGUCCCUGUGCGGCUACUGCUCCUUCUGCAAUAAAUGCACUGAAUGUGAGAACUGUCACUGCGAUGAGGAGAACAUGGGGGAGCACUGCGACCAGUGCCAGCACUGCCAGUUCUGCUACCUCUGCCCGCUGGUCUGCGAAACGGUCUGCACGCCGGGAAGCUACGUCGACUAUUUCUCCUCCUCCCUGUACCAGUAAGUGUGUGGAGGGGGGCAGUUUGAGGGCCCUGUUUAGAGAGGCGCAGUCCCGCUGAGUGACUGGACGACCCUGGGACUCCAUUGCCCUGUCGAGCCCUGGCGGACAUGCUGGAAACUCCGGAACCCUGACCAUGGGGCUGCGGUGCACACGCACCUGCCUGGCCCUCCGUCCCCUUCCCAUGAGCCAUAUUUAUUGAAUUGCAGUAUGAAUAAACAUGCUCCCCGAAACCUC